AGUGAACGCUGGCGGUAGGCCUAACACAUGCAAGUCGAACGGCAGCACAGGAGAGCUUGCUCUCUGGGUGGCGAGUGGCGGACGGGUGAGGAAUACAUCGGAAUCUACUCUGUCGUGGGGGAUAACGUAGGGAAACUUACGCUAAUACCGCAUACGACCUACGGGUGAAAGCAGGGGAUCUUCGGACCUUGCGCGAUUGAAUGAGCCGAUGUCGGAUUAGCUAGUUGGCGGGGUAAAGGCCCACCAAGGCGACGAUCCGUAGCUGGUCUGAGGGGAUGAUCAGCCACACUGGAACAGAGACACGGUCCAGACUCCUACGGGAGGCAGCAGUGGGGAAUAUUGGACAAUGGGCGCAAGCCUGAUCCAGCCAUACCGCGUGGGUGAAGAAGGCCUUCGGGUUGUAAAGCCCUUUUGUUGGGAAAGAAAUCCAGCUGGCUAAUACCCGGUUGGGAUGACGGUACCCAAAGAAUAAGCACCGGCUAACUUCGUGCCAGCAGCCGCCGUAA
rnacentral:rRNA from 1 species